UACGGGGGGAGCAAGCGUUGUUCGGAUUUACUGGGCGUAAAGGGCGCGUAGGCGGCCACCGCAAGUCGACUGUGAAAUCUCCGGGCUUAACCCGGAAAGGUCAGCCGAUACUGCGGGGCUAGAGUGCAGAAGGGGCAACUGGAAUUCUCGGUGUAGCGGUGAAAUGCGUAGAUAUCGAGAGGAACACCUGCGGCGAAGGCGAGUCUCUGGACAAUUCCUGACACUGAGGCACGAAAGCCAGGGGAGCAAACGGG
rnacentral:rRNA from 1 species